UUUACAAAACAAAUCAAAUCAGAGGUAGAAAAGGGAAACAUUUAUCAACAUGUGUAAGGAAAGUUCCCCAAACACAAAUCGUCUUACCAUGUAUGGAUCUCGAGCGCGAGAUCGAGAUAGCUCGUACUCGACUCGUCGACUGCUAGUUUUAGCUUCGGCUAGACGAGUGGCGGAGCCAAGGCAAAAUGUGAACGAACCGAUCAACUGAUGAUUGGUCUUGUCUGCUUGUUAAAUGAUUAUUGAUCGGCAUGAAAAAAAACCCCGUGUUUUAGAGGGGAAGCAUGUAUAUUUCAUGCUUAUUACCGAUAUAGAAAUUCGUGUGACCGACGUGAAAUUGCGAGCUGGGAUCUUAUGUUUUCAUACUUUUUCUGGUAGUCCCGUGUGUGCAACAAUUUGUUUAUAGUGAAAUGCGUAAUGAGAUAAACUUCAACACGUCAAUGAUGAUGCAGGUUCAGUGCUGGUAAUUUGCUUGUUUCCGACCUGAUGAGGAUCUCCAUACCAAUGUACCUGAAGCAACCAAUCCAGAUGGAUACACAACCAUUGUUCAUCCAAUAAUCCAAAGGAAUUUACUGACCACCUCAUCAUGGACUAGACACAUGGGAAUAACCCCACAUACUUCAAUUGGCUAUAAUAAUUGGAAAUGAAAGGAAAAUUGAGUCACAAUAGGCAAUAUGUGAACAGAAGAAAAAAAAUAUGGCAAGAGGAUGGAUUUUUUAAUGCAUGUACAAAUAAUACAUGACCCAUCACAUCAUGGGUAUAAUUAUUACAUGUAACAAGUAAGAACAAUUAUUUAAAUACAAUUCAGUUUACAUUUAUUUCUUAUUCUUCGUUAAUUUUCAUUUAAAAUGAGUAUAUAUUAUAGAUUGAACAGUAUUUGAAUGAGAAUUGGACAACAUUUGAACAGAAGAAGAAAUCAUGGAAGAAAGAUGGAUCAUUUUUAGUACAUGUACAACUACAAAUGUAUUGGUGCAUGUGCUUUAUCAUGCCAUCAUUGACGUAAUUAUUACGGUUUGACAUUAGUUUCCUAUUUUUGGUUAAUUUUCAUUAAUAAAUGAGUAUGUAAAUUGUAUAUUGCUUGUAAACAAUCAGUUUAUUAUUUAGGUUAUUAUACUAGAUUUUGUUUGAAUUCAUUUUGUAAAUUAUUUGGAAAAAAUUUCCAGAAAUAAAAUCAAAAUCAAAUCAAAUCAAUGUCUGUAAAUACAUUAUUCAGUCUCAUAGUUUGUAAUUUUAAGUUAUAUUCAUUACACUGUAUCAUAUUGCAAACCAUCAUAACAUGUAUUCAUAUUUCUUGAUACCAAGAAAUGCAUUCUUAAUAUCAAGAAAUAUCACAAAAUGCAUUUGUUGAUAUCAAGAAAUCCCGAGGGGGGGGGGGCAGUCAAGCCCAGUGCUGUACACAUGCGCAACCAAAGAUAUCCAAAAACCCCCCUUUCAUAUCAGGAAUUGACUCCAAAGUACCCCUAAACAAGCAUUUAAAGCAGGUUCGCUAAAUACUAGUUAAUGAUCCUCUGCAUGAAAAUUUCAAAGGCUAGCUAGUCCGAAUUUCUUUUUUUUCUAUUGUACAUGUACUAUGUAGAAACACAAAAAAAGGCCAAAAUAACAAUGAAUUCUGAUGUUGCCAUUAAAGGUACUGGGUGAGAGUGUAUGACUGCAGAAUGCAAGUGUUGAGUUACGAGUUGAACUGGUAUAAAAAAUGUUAUCAGGUGUCACAGAAGCCUAAAUAUGACUAAAGAUUUGGAAAACAUAUCGUCUGGAGAAAACUAUGAAUGAAAAUAUGGCGAGAGCGUCACCGUAAUGCUAAUUUUCUUUACUUUGUUUUUAUUUUCAUUGAUGUCUCGCAAAUAUAUCGAUUGGAUUUCUCAGAAGUUUUGCACAAGCCAACACUCUUACCCAGUACCUUUAAAUGAUGUACUAUAAGCCGUAAGAUAUUUUGAUAACACACUACCUAACACAAGUGUGAAAGAAGAUACGACUAAGCCUCCGCACACAACACGAUUUUCCGGAGCACGACUGAUCGAUCUCGGAUCUGAAAUAAAAUAUUGCGUACAUUUUGUGCACGGUGAUUUAUUUCAAAUCAAAGAGUUGGUCAGUUGUACGAAAACCGUGAAGUGUGCGGAGGCCUUAAGUGUCAGAACAAGAGUGUCGCUGGGGUGAGCACAUGAGCCCGCCUGAAAAGCGGAAAAUGGGAGUUAUUCCUGGGAUCAAUGCUAGUGUCGUACACAUCAAAUUAUAUGAGCCUACGUUUAUUUAAACUCAAGUUAUUGCGUUUACAAGGAAAAGUUAACAGACUUCACAAGGGUAAGGUGAAAACAUGUCAUUGUGACCUUAAUGUUUGACUUCGGGACCCCAAAAUAAAUGGGCUUCCUGGGAUCCAUGGUAGUGUCAUACACACCGAAUCAUAUGGGCCUAGGUUAGUUGAAACUGAAGUCAUCACAUUUACAGGGACUUCACAAGGGUAACAUGAAAACAUGUCACUGUGACCUUGACCUUUAGACCUCCAAAUCAAUUGGCUUCCUGGGAUCCAUGCUAAUAUUAAACAAACCAAAUUAUAUGAGCCUAGAUUAAAGGCAAAGUUUAGUUUUGGUAACUGUAGAAAAUCAUAAAAUUCCUAAUCAAUUAUUUUAAUAGGGCAUUAUGAUAUCUAACACCCCUGUGAACUGUUUUCUUCAAAACCAUCACUUUUGGGUAAUAUUUGGGUAA